GAGCUCCUGACCCCGCACACCCGGGCAGGGCGGGCCCCAGGCGCCAGCGGCCUGGGGAGGCGGCCGCUCGGAAGGGAGGAGACGCCCUGUUCGUCUGUUUUCCCCGACACCCGGUCCUGCUGUCCCGGAGCGGAGCCGUGUUUGGGGUUUUCUCCCAGGACCCCAAGGUCCUUUCCGGGACCCAGCGGCAGCCGCAGUCCCUGCCUGAGACCCCCUGUGUGUGUGGGGGGGUGUCAAGCGCAGCCAGGGCAGAGGAGGGGGUUGGGGGCGGGCGAGCUCUCUGCCCCGGGUCAAAGCCCGCCUCCCUGCCCGCUGACCUCUGCAGGCCGCAGGUGCUGUCGCCAAGCGCCCUGCGUCCCCGCCUGACCUGUGUGGCCGUCGUGUCUGUCUGUUGGUUUGUCCUCAGUGUCUGUCCGUGGUGGCCCCCCAUGCGCUGACCUGACUCAGGGGCCGCGGCAGCUUUGGUCUGGGUUCUGGGGAAACUGCAGCAGCCUGGGGAGCAGGCGCGGGUUAACAACAGCUGCACAGUGGGGCUUCCGGGCUCCGUCACCCCAGGACUCAGUCUCUCCCUGGUCACAGGCGUCCUUUGCCCCUCGGCUGCUGAACCGAGGAUGCAGAAACCUCAGCUCAGGGCUGGCUCUUGAUGUCCUGGCUCUUGCUGUGCCAGACCCUGUGCCGGAAGUGGAGGGAGCAGCCAGGUCCUGUCCUGAGGGCCUCGGCCUGGAGCCGGGCACAGCGGGGCAUUGCAGUGCAGCGCAUGGCACAGCUGGACAUGGCGCUGUGAGGUCAGAGAGGCCUCAGGUCACAGGUGCAGGAGGAGGAGAGAUGCUGCCUGGUAACCGUGAGGGCCACUGCACACCACCGGGCUGGUGAAAAAAACAUCCAGACACAAAACAACAGUGUCAGUGAGAGUGUGGAGAAGAUGAAACCCAGCUGGUGGGAAUGCAAAAGGGCGCAGCUGCUGCUGUGAGCUUGUGGCACAGUCUGGAGAUUCCUCAGAAGGUGAACAUGGCAUUAUCCUAGGACCCAGCAAUUCCACUCCUAGGUAUACACCCGAAAGAACUGAAAACAGCCACUCACACAAAUAUUUACACACGUUUGUUCAUAGGAGCGUUAUUUACAAAUUGCCAAAAGGUCCACUGGUGGAUGAGUGGAUAAACAAAUUGUGGUAUAUCCAUACAGUGGAGUAUUAGUCAGCCAUAAGAAGGAACAAAAUAUUACUAUAUGCUACCAAAUGGAUGAACCUCUAAGAACAUGAUGUUAAAUUGUGAAAUAAGCCCGGCCCUUGGGGUUACACUUUAUUUCCAGGGUUCCCAGCGAUAUGAAAUGUCUAGAAUAGGGAAAUCAGAGAGUGCAGAUUAGUGAUUGCUAGGAGUGGGGGGAUGAGGAAUAGAUGUCAGCUGUUUGCUGGGUGUGUGCUUUCUUUGGAGGACAAUGGAAAUGUUUUGAAACUAGACGCAAGUGGUGGCUAUACAAUUUAUAAAUAUAUUAACAAGACUCUAAAAUGGUCAACGUUAUGUUAUGUGAAUGUUGCCUCAACUAGAAAAAAGAGAAUCUUAUUUUAUUUUAUUUCCAGUACUGGGGAUCGAACUUAAGACCUUGAGCUUGCGAGGCAGGUGUGGUGUCACUGAGCCACAUCCCCGGCCCCUCAUAAAAAGAGGAUUUUAAUAGAAAAGAAAAAUGGUGUGACCUGUGCAGUGUGGGGGUCAGAGAAGUGGACGUGUGAAGCUCUGCUGGCUGCCUGGGCCACAGGGAUGGAAGAGGAAGUAUCUGGGGCUGCAAAUAAGAUGCAUAAUACAGCUCAGGGAUAAAGUAACACAGUUUCUCUUAUUUAUGAGACACGGCCUCGCUAUGUAGUUCACAUGCCCUGCUCUGUGUCAUCACUGUAAAAGUGUCCCAGCCCUGGGGAACACGUUCCUAGCUGCCCUGGGCCACCUGCAGCCCCGAGCAAAGGUUGGACGCACCUGCGAGUGUCUCACGGGCGUCCCACACCGCCAGGAGGGUGCAAAGCAGUGGCUUCAGCCUCCACUUUCCCAGAGCCCACAGCGAUUACAGAAGGCAACUUGCAGCCUCCCACGCGUGUGCGUGCUCGCGCCUGGGAGGACAGGCUUUCGUUGUUAUCAGGCACACAUACCUUCUGGGAGACUCAUCCUGCUGAGGCCCAGGAACCCCAAGCCACUCCCCUGAAUGUCUCGGCGAUGGCGGCGUGGUCGGUUGGUCGGCCUUUCACAUUUCCCUGUGCUGCAUUUCUGAAACCUGUGUUUUGACGGUUCCCACUAAUGAGCUGGUUCAGCAGAUUCUUUCCCCCUAAAUUGCAAAGACAACGUGACAGUUCAAAAAAACAGAACAAAGAACAUGACAUGUGGAGACGCAGAAAUGUCGAGGUGAGCCAGGCCAUUGUGCUUCUGGUGGCACUGACAUCCAGGGUCACUCCUGAUGGCUGCACAGUUUCUGCUGUAACAUUCUCCUGGUGAUUCCUGUCCUCAUGCAUAGAAAGGUAUCUCUUAGCAAGGUCACACACACACACACACACACACACACACACACCCCUGCACACCAGCGUCUCACUGAGAAGGGCAAGAACCAGUGGCCGGCAGGUGGGCAGCAAUUAAAGCUCCAAAGGAACCAGAGGGCCCAGCAAGGAGCGCAGUGGGCCCUGUCCUCAUUCCGUCACUGGGGGACUCUGACACCAGAGCCAUGGACUCGGCUAAGCCAGAGCCUCUGCGGUUGCACGCAGAAGGAACCCUGAAAAUGCAAGGUGGCUCGGACGGCUCUGUCUACACCGCACACUGCAGAACUACGCAGUUGAAAGCAGCCCUCGCUGUUCUCCAGGAAGAACGGCUGGCAUCGAGGCUCUUUGUGGCCUGCGGCCUGUGCCAGGCAGGGUGCCGAGCCCUUCGCUAGGGGGUGGGCUCCUCGUAACAGUGCCGCCCGGUGCGCUCCAGGCCCUAGUUCCGUCCCCUGUGCCACGAACAAAAUGAAACCCCGAAACACUCGUGAAUCCUCUUCACCCAGUGAGGCGGGCACUACUGAUCCCACUGGGCAGAUGAGGAAACUGAGGCCAUGAGCUGUGGACCCCCUCACUCCAGGCUGUGAGCAGUGAACUACCAGGCUCCAGAUUCUGCCUAGAGAAGGGAGGAAGAUGAGAUGGAGGCACCAGCUCCGCAGUGAGCCUUCUUCUCAUUGGCCCUCAGCUCUGCCCCGUGCGGCUGCGUGUCGUGGGUGAACGCAACACUGCUGAUGCCACUGGAACCUCUCUGGAGACCCAAGCUCAGGUCAUGACCCCAGCGCUCACUCCGGGAGCGGAAUAUCUGAGUCCGACCCCAGUGUUUCCAGCACCCAGGAGAGGGCGGAAGUCACUUCCGUGGAUGCACAGCCCAAGGAGAGGCUGCAGGCCGAGUGGGGGGUGGAGAGCAGCACAGAGGCCAGGAGGGGCUCCGAAGGCUGGAGAGGAAGUGAGGACCCAGUCCAGACAGUGCAGAUCCCACGAAGUCGCCACGGACCAAGAGAAGACGGAAUCACAGGGCCGCGUGGUCAGGGGCCGGGGAAGUAGGGAGGGUGAGGAGGCCUCGGUGGGCUCAGGCAGCCAGGUGGCUGGAGGCGGCCGUGCCCCGAGGUGGGGACAGCGUCCAGGGCUGCAGGGGAGGUGGAGGCCCGGAGCGUGGAGCGGCAGCACAGACCUGGGCUGGCCGCGGGGUCGGGAGCAAGGCGGAGGAGGGUGACACUGAGAAGGGGCCCGGAGGCCAGGCGGGAGAGAGGCACAGCAGCGGCCGGCGAGGGUUUGCAGACAGGGGGCUGGGACAGUCCCUGAGGACACUGACUCUGGAGGUGACAGAAGAGGCCGCCGGGUGUCAGGGGCCUGGAGAAGGCUGCUGUGCCUCUGGAAGGGGAGGACGCCGGCUUCCUGGACGUGCGGUCUCUGGGACCGUGUGCUGGGGUCACCUCGGGGCUGGAAGGCAGAGAAGGCCUUCAGUGGGUGGGGUCGGGGGUUUGCAGCGAAGCCGUCCUUGGGCUGCCACAGGUGCCGCAGUCACGGGGAGGGGAGGAGAGGGGCAUGGGACAAGGCCAGGCCAGCUCGGGGCCUUGAGGUCCCUGGGGAGGGUGACGGGCGGGGGCGGGAGAGCUCGUCCAGGGCACAGUGCAGUCCGUGCCGGGCCUUGGGGUCUGCACUUUUGGUUGCAGUUUCUUUGCAGUCACUUGGGCUCCCUGCCCCCCAGCAUCUCCCACAGGCCAGGGGUCAGUGGGGAAUCAGUGGCCAAGCCGCCCCUCAGGAGUUUGGGGUUGUUUCAAGCACUCUGGUGCACGCCUGUAGUCCCGGCACUCGGGAGGCUGAGGCAGGAGGAUCACUGCAAGUUGGAGGCCAGUCUGGGCUGCACAGUGAGUUCAAGGCCAGCCUGGACUGCAGCGUGAGACCCAGUCUUAAAAAAAAAGAGGGGAGCACUUGGAGACUGGCAAAAGGUGCAAAGGGGAUGAUUUGAGUGCUGAACAGGAGCAGGGAGUAGUGGGAGGACACAGGAGGCUCUUGGACGAACGUGGGCAAGGUCGUCACCAAGGGCUGCCGAUACCUCGUCCUUGGCCUGCAGAGCUUUGCCGCUGCCUACUCCUCCCCGUUCGCAGUGGGCACCAGCGUGGUGUCCCUUGUGCGCUAGAGGACCCUGCGCCUUUCGGACUUGGACUCGCAGAGCACGAGCACUGAGCACCGGAUGAGAAGCUGCCUUCCUUGUUGGGUCGGAUGGGUCAAGCGCCAGCCAGCCUGCCGCCUCCAGCGGGCUGCCAGACACUGGCCUGAGGGGCCCACCUGGGGCCAGGGGAGUUGGUCCCUGGGACACUCAUCCUUCGGGGAAGGCGGCAGGGUGGGCUGGAGACUGAUUUGGGCAGGGUGGGCUGGAGACUGAUUUGAGCAGCGUGGGCAGCCGAUGGCCGCUCCAGAGCAGGAAUCUCCUGCACAGGGCGCGGGCUCCCGGGCCGCCCAGGGCCCUGGCUUCCUGACUUCUGAGGCUGAGCAAAGCAGCUGUUUAUUUCUCAAGUCAUUCUCUCCCACCCUGUCACUCCACCACUCUGUCAAGGGAGUUUCAUCACAGGCUCAGGAAGAGGGAGGGAGGGAGGGAAGGAAGGAAGGAAAGGACAGCCUCCCUUUGAAGGCGCUGAGGAUUGCCUCCUGCAUUCUCAGCUGGGCCACAGAAGGGGGAGGAAGCCUCUCCUCGGUGCCUGGACCCUGGGAGAGUGGGGGGCACAGGAAGCUGGGACGGGUGAGGAUUCAGAAGAGGAGCCAGAAAGUAGCAGACGGUUGGAGGAUGUGGAAGAGGGCAGGAAGGGUGUCAGAGGAGCAGCAGGGGCAGGUGGGGAAGUCCAGUGUCGGGGGGCCCAGGCAGCUGGGGCUGUAGUUCUGGGGGACCGGGGGGGCUGCCAGGGCCCAUGGCGGGGCUCGGCCCUCUGUGGCCCGCAGGCUCACACUCGGGUGUGGAGCGCCCUGUCCUGCCCUGUGCAACCAGCUGACGCGGACUCCCUGGAUCCCGAGGUUGGGGUGCUUGAGGUCCUGGCCCUGUCAGCGCAGCCUGCACUCUGAGUUGCUUGAGGGAGGUGGAGGGUGGAGAAGAUCCCUCUGCCCUCUGCUGACCCCUGCGACAGGCUGAGUUCCAGCUGUGCCCAGAAUAUCCAGAGGCCUGGAUGCUCCUGCCUCAGCCACCCAGCCCAGCCAGGGCCCGCCCGGGGGGGCAGGGAAGCCGUAGAGGGACGGAUGGAUGGAUGGGCUGGUGGAGAAAACGGUGACUGGAGGUGAGGUAGGGUAGAAGGAAUGAAGCCAGGGAAACGAGGCAAAGACCAGAAUUUUAAAAUUGUGUUUUUCAGAAAAACUUCAGCUUUAGGACACAAAAGUUGCUCAAGCCUUUUUUCCUUUCAGGAAACUCAAUUUUUUUUUUUUUUGGUACCGGGGAUUGAACUUGGGAACCACUGAGCUCAAUCCCCGGCCCAAGGAAACUCAAAUUAUUUAUCCCCAAGGGCCGUAAAGAUACAAUGAGCCUGUAAAUUGGGCUUCCAGGGGCCUGUAUUUUUUACUUUUUUUUUUUAGGACAGGGUCUCACCAUGGAGUUCAGGCCAGCCUUGGACUCAUUAAGCAACCCAGGCUGGCCCCGAAUUCAUGGAAAUCCUCCUGCCUCAGUGUCCAAGUGCUCGGAUUACAGCUGUGUGCCGCUGUGCCUGGAUUUUACUUGUUUACUAUACUUUCUCCCACAAACUUCUACCUUCAGGGAGGCAGCAGUGUUAGUGGGCGGUAGAUCCCAACUUCGGGCUUGUGGAAAUCGUGUUCUGAUGAGCAACGUGACAGACAGUAGCAACACACAUCCCAGGCACCCCUCUCGGCCCGCAGGCCCCAUAACUGCGCCCAGCUCCGACCAUAGGCACCCCCCCCCCUCCAGGACUCGCAGGCUGUGUGUGUCUUUCAAUGUACGCUUUUAAAAUGUUUGUCUAAUAAAUUCCUUCGUGCCUCUUCUAACAUGUCCUGAAAAUUCCUUUUCCAAGCUGGAGUCAGUAGGGGUACAGCUUAGUCCUCGGGUAAGGCUUGGGGGUCUCCCGGGACCCCAUGCUGCAUCACAGACACGGAUCCUGCGUUGGCCAGUGCUGCAGGUCAUGUGCACACAUGGGAGAUCACCGAGGGCAGAGUGUGGAGCAGAGAAGGACCUCAGGGCCCAGGGCCUGCUGGCCCCCUGAGGGAAGCAGGACCCCUGCACCAGGUCCCCCGGUGAGUAGGGUGUCGCCUGGGGAGGGGGCCAGGGACUUCCCUGCCCCCCAAGUUGGAAAAUCCGCAAAAUCAAGCACAUCUGGCCCUGAACUUCUGAAGGUCUGGUUAAGAAUUAACUCAGAAAUGUCACAAGUCAGAGGCUCGCGGGGCUUGUCCUGAGGAUCGGGCUCACAGAGAGGACUUCACCCAGCUCCCAGUGCCCAAGGGUCACCCCCACGGCAGGGCCGAGUGCUCCCUGCGCCUACCCCAUCAAGUAGCAGGUCGCCUUUUUACUUUGCUCUCUGAUCGUCAGUACCACGGCCGCUGCCCUCCUGGGAACCGAGUUCUAGAGCUCUCCCUUGGGCCCGUGGAGCACAGCUUCUUCCCUAUCCUUUCCUCGGCCUGUGAUGUGAACAAGCUCCAGCCUGGUGUCCUGAGAGACUGGCGAGGACAGCGCCCUGGGGACUGCGGCUCUGAUGUCCUGGCCUCCCUGGCUCCACCCCCUGCGGAAUCUCGUCUCUGGCCCCAGCUUUGGUUCCUGGCCUGGAAACCUGCCUGCUGUCCUCAGAGAUUUCAGCCUGUCUUGCGUUCCUUUGUCAGUAAAUUCUCUUAGUGCCCUGGCCUUGGAGGGAGGCAGGAGCCCCUGGAGCCCCCAGGUGGCUGGGGUGGGAGGGAAAGGAGAGGGAUGCGGCCUGCUGGAGGCCUGAUCUUCCCAGGCCGUCUGCUCUCCUUCCUUGGAACCUGAGGGUUGGGGCUGCAGGAGCCAGGCAGGCCGCUGAGGAGCUGAGGGCAAGGUGGGGUCUGGGGGUUGCUCACCGGAGCCCCAGAAAGGAGGGGCUGUGGGUGCUCAGCUCUGCUGGCCACCAGGCAGGGCGCCUCGCCCUGAGCCUUGCUUCCGAAGCUGAGUGCAUGUCUGCAGGGCAGACAGAAGGGUCAGCCCCCACCUCCCCCAGCAUGAGGAGCUCGGGUCAGACAGUUGGGCUGGGACCCAGAGAAGGCCUGGCCCGCAGGAGCCUCGGGACAAAGCUCGUGAGGCCUCCUGGGUCGUAACAGCACCGACCAGGACCGGGAGGCACACGCCACAGAGCCCCUGCCUUUGUGCAUUUAUUCCUUCCUCUGAUGCUGAGUUCGAGUCCUGGCUGUGUCUUGGGCCAGAGUGGUGUCAGCAUGGGGUUCACCAGGCAGCGUGGGAUUGGCGUGGGGAUCUGUCAUGGGCAGGGGCUCUGCCUCCCUGAGCCACCGCUUCCCACCCCUCCCUCGGGUCACAGCUUGGAGGGACAGCGUCAGGAGCAGGACAGAGGGGCCCUUCCAAGGGUGAGCCCCUGUCCACCCCGAAGACAUCCCAGGAGGAAGCCAGUAGACUGGGGCUGAGGUGAGGGUGAGCAGCUCGGGACUGGAGGGAGGAUCAGGGCACAGCUCGGCCAGGGGUGUCGUGAGCGCAGAGCCCGUGGCACAGCCGCGUGGGCAAAGGUGGCUGCGGGGAGGAGGGGCAUUGUGCUGUGGGGCCAUUGAGGCCUCGCUCUCCACCCUGCUCUCAGCCGGGGCAGCGUGGUGAGGAGCAUCAGGAGGGCAGCACCGCCGUCCAGGGGUCCCCUUCCCUCCCUGGGCCGGACACGGAGGGUACAGUAGUGAGGCCGAGGUGGACGGCUCGUCCAUCCCUCCCGGGCCCACCAUCCUGAGCCCAGCGCUUCAGCUUCCUCCAGCCUCGGCCCCUGGCCCUUGGCUUUUGAUCACUGAUUCUCCUUUGCAUCUCAAAGGUGCCCUUUCGCUUCCUAUUCUGCUCCCUCUUGACCCAGGCCAUCUGCAGCCCCCUGCAGAGGAAGUAGGACAAUGAGCCUGUUUUCCCAGCACGGCAGCGGCCGGCGCGGUGCGGACUUUGUUUUCCAGCCCUGCUGCGCCCCACUCUGCUCCUCCUGGCCAAGGUCCGGGCAGGUCGGCCGCCCUCGCCCCUGCUUUUGCCUCUGCUCUGGCAGCUUCUCUGGCCAAGCUGAAGGUCCCUGCACCUUCACACCUUCCCUGAUCUCAGCGUCUGGGGCGGGCUGUCUUCAGGCGUGUGUCCCCAGGCUGUCCCCAAAAUGUUCCCAGCUUGAGGUUUGUGUGGAGGGGGCGGGCUCAGUCCCCAGGGCAGCAGGACACCAGCGGACGGGGGACACAGAGGGAGGCCUCAGGGCCCGGGGCGGUGCCUGCUCAGUGAGACGCAGAGUUGGAGCCCAGAGGGCCCUGAGCUUUAGCACCGCCCUAAGGUGGGGCCUCCCCCGCCCAUGGGAGGGUGCCCGCUCCUCCCGGUGCCCAGCUGUGGCUGCCCGGUCUGUGCCCUCUGUGUGUCCCCUGCCCCCGGACUGCCGGAGCUCAGAAGUGAGAAGAGUGAAGAUGUGUUGUGUCCAUGUGCCACCUCCCUGUGAGGACCGUGAUCAUGACAUGCGGCAGACACCUGCUAAUGAGAAUAAAAAUUAAGGAAGAAAAGGAGCUGUUUCUCCCAGGCCUCCAUGCCCGGCAGGGAGGAGCUUCGUCCCCUGCAGAGGUGGAGCAGCUCUGGACAGGGACCAGCCCGCCCUGCCUCCCGUGGCCCCUGAGCCGACCGAGGGAGUGGACCCUGCCCCUCACGGUCUCUGCCCUUGGGCCCUGGCCGGUGGCUGUUCUGUCCUGAGUGACUGAGCAGCUCCACCUGCCUCCUGGUUUUUGUGCUUGGCCCUGGCUGUGUCCUGGGGAGGAGCCCUCAGGACUUCUGCAGAGGGAGGGGACGUCGGCAGGGCUGUCAGCUCCUCCACCCUUUCACAGAAGGACCCAGCCACACACACGCACUCAGUCAUUCAACAAGUGGACCUGAGCAGCUCCCGGUGCCCAGCCCAGGGCCUGUGGAUCUCCGUGUUGGUUUUGCCAGAAUGCAGGAAAGACUUGGCUUUGCUGGGCCUCCAGGGGUUGCUGGCCAGUAGGAGGAGUCGCCUGGGGCCCGGGGAGGGGUCGGCUCUGACCUCGCAGGCCCAGGCUCCGCCCUCGCAGGCGCAAGCUCUGCCCUCCACAGGCGCAGCCUCGGCUCGCAGGGCGCAGGGCGACCUGGGGGUUCCUCCGCAGGCUCCCAGGGUCCCCAGGUCCGAAAGCGCUGGCCGUGGCCGUGGUGGGCCGCUUGCGGGGAACUCAGUAGAUCCCUGCGCCACAAAAAUAAAAUACAAGUGCAGAAAGUUUUAUUUUGUGAACACUUACCGUCUGCCUUCUGAAUAGUCAUCUCAGAAUACUUAAAAAUGGAAGAAAGUAAAAAUAAUGGUGAUUCUGCAACCCCACGGGGGCGUUUGCCAGCGCCCGGUGCCUUCCACCGCCGCCCCAGUGCAGCUGCUUGCGAGGUGCGGGGUCUCCUAGUGCCGCGGGGCCGGAGGGGCCCGCUGUUCUCUGUGUGGACCUCUGCAGGGUCGUCCCGGACCACACCGCCCUGGGCACGGGCCGGGGCCGGGGCAGGACAAGCCAGGGACAGACGCACCGACACAGGAUCAACCAUGGGGACCAAGGACAAACAAGCUCCGGGCGCUCAGCCUGUUACUCGGGAGGAGCAGGAUUUGGUGCUGACGCUGGCAGCAUGUGUACUAAAGCUGGAAUGAUACAGAGCUCACCACAGCUCCUGUGCAAGGAUGGAGUGCAAAUUCAUGACGCUCUCAGAGGGGGAGGGGGAGGGGGAGGAAGAAUUCUCCUUCUGGGCCGAUUAGGUCUUAAAAUAUUGGUUUUACUAUUAAAACAAACCCCCAAACAGAAACAAAAACCAAAACCUGAAACCACGUGACUCUUCACUUGGUAUGGGUAACUAAAAGCAGAAUAAAGCUUGACCUGCAGUUGGUAAAACUCUGGGCCAAGUUCUUCUUUGCUCUGCAUAGAGACAUUUUGGUCCUUUGGGAAGCAUCCAUCUAAAAGUUGGCAAAACAAGGUUUACUGGCCCCAGAUUCACCUCGUCCCCCUUUAAGACUGAGGACGGCAAGAGUACCACAGUAAGUUUCAGGAUUUGCCGGGACAGCCGAUGGCCAGAUUUUGCAACAUCCAAUUCCAGGCCUCCCUGGAAUGCCACCCAGUCUCCUGACCUGUCAUCAGCCCAGCUUCCAGGACAGGCAGAGCUGUACAGACUCCCCCACGAUGAGGCACCUGCUCGAAGCAAGAACACUAUUACAGCUGUCAUCAAAAAGUCAGAUUAUGCAUGUACUGAAGAUGUCCAGAGGCUGGACUCCUGCAUUCCAGCUGGAAAAUGGUCAGGCCAUUUCUCAAAAUGCUACCCAUGUAGUUGGUAUUUGACCCAGCAAUUCUGUUCAUUGGUAUCUAUCUGUGAAAAUGAAAACGUGUCCACACAAAACAUGUGCACAGAUGUUCAUAGCAGGAUUAUUCAGCAUGAGCAAAACAUGUAAACAAUCCAAAGGCCAUCAGCAGAUGAAUGGCUACACAAAAUGCAGUGUAUUCACACAGAGGGGGGCCAGGGAUUUAGCUCAGUGGUUCUGCCGCCUGCCUCGCAAGCACAAAGCCCUGAGUUCAAUCUCUGGUGCCAGAAAAAAAAAAAUCAAUUGUCACAUAGUGGGGUACUAUUUGGCCAUAAAGAGGGAUGAAGCAAUGCUAUAUACUAUAAUGGGGAUGAAUUUUGACAUUAUGGAGAGAUCCAGUCACAAAAGGCCACAUCUUGUAUGCUUCCCUGUAUGGGAAAUGUCCAGAAGAGGCAAAUCCACAGAAAAAGAGCGAGAUUAGUGGAUUCUAUCUAGGGUUGAAAGAAAACGGGGUUUGACUGCUAAUGAGUACAUGGCUUUCUGAGGUGAUGAAAAAGUUCUAAAUUUCAUGUUGGAGAUGUUUGCUUCAUCUGGAAGAACCUGUUGGUUGAGGCCACCACAUCCGGGGUGGUUCUUCCCUCCUCAGUUUCCAGCCUACCUGUCAAUCAUCCACAGACAUGCCCAGAGCUUUACUGAUCUCCUGGCCAGUUGUUUCUCCGUCACGUCUGCACUGACAUAUCGUAGUUAGCGAUCACAGAAGACUUAGUCUAAUCGGAGGUUGUGAGGAUUUACAUUGUUAUUUUCUUUUAAGACAGAGUUUUAGUUUUAACUCUUUCAAGUAGGCCUAUCAACCGUUCUGCAUUAGACUUCUAUAUGGGGCACUUUGAACAUGAUAUCUAGCUAUUUCAGCGCCAAAAGUUGGAAAGAAUGUCUCAUCCAUACUGAUUUGUUUUGGGGUUCAUCAAAAAUCAAUUAAGCUUGAAUAUAAUUUAUUUCUGGAGUCUUCAUUGCAUUCUGUUGAACUGCAUGCCAAGCUUUGUGCCAGUGCCGAAAAUGUCUUGACAUUUGUAGCUGUGUAUUGUGUUUUGAAAUCAGGGAGUGUGAGUCCUCCAAGUUUGAUUCUAUCUUUCAAAUUGGUUUUGCUGUUCUUGGUCCCUUGAAUUCUAUUUAAAUUUUAUGAUUAAUUUGUCAGUUUUUACCAAAAAAGCCAGAUGAGAUUGUUGACCAGAUAGCAAUGAAACUGUAGGUCAAUUUGGGGAACAUUAUCAUCUUAUAGCGUUAAGGCUUCCAAGGCCAGAAGCAUGAUGUUUUUCAUUUAUUUAAGACUUCUGGAAUUUCUUUCAAUAGUAUUUUGUAGUUCUCAAAAUACAAGUUUUACACACCUUCUGUUAAAUUUAUUCCUAAUAACUUAUUCUUUUUUGUUGUUGUUGUUGUUUGUUUGUUUUUGUUUUGUUACCAGGGAUGGAACGAGGGACCUUGCGUUUGCCAGGCAAGCGGCAGAACCACUGAGCUAAAUCCCCCGCCCUAACUUAUUCUUUUUGAUCUCAUUGCAAAUGUAAUUUUUCUUAAUUUCCUUUUAAGACCAUUCAUUUAAUAGUGCAUAAAAAUACAAAGACUUUUUGUAUAUUGAUUUUGUAUUCUGCUACCAUGCUAAUUCACUUACUCUCUUUUUUUCCAUCACAGUAGGAAUUGAACACAAGGCCCUCGCCCUGAACUACUUCCCCAGUUCUUUUUGUAUUUUUAAAUUUUGAGACAAGGUCUUGCUCAAUGUCACUAAGUUGCCCAGGCUGGCUUGAACCUGCAAUCCUCCUGCCUCAGCCUCCCAGAAUGCUAAGUUUAUAGUAUGAACCACCAUGCCCAGCGUACUUAUUAUCUUUGAUAAUAUUUUUUAGUGAUUACGUAGGAUUUUUUAUAUGUAACAUUAUGUUACCUGUGAGUAGAGUCUGGUCUUAUUUUUUCUCUUCCAAUAUGAAUUCUGAGUAUUUCUUUUUCUUGCCUAGUUGCUCUGGCAAGAACUUCCACUGCACUACUGAAUUAUAAAACAGCAGAAGCAGACAUUCCUGACUCGAUCCUGAUUCAGGAGGAAAGAAGGCAGUCUUUCACCAUAGGAAUGCUACGUGCUUUUCUCGGAUGAGAUUCAGAUUGAGAAAGUUCUUUCCUAUUCCUAAAUUAAUGAGUAUUUUUACCAUGAAAGGAUACUGGAUUUUCCCAGUGCAUUUCCUGCACUUAUUGAGAUGAUAGUGUGUUUUUUGUUUUUUGUCCUUUUUGUGGCCUUUCUAUUGACAACUUAUAUUACAUUAACUGAUUUUUGGAUGUUAAACCAACCACAAUGCUGGACAAAUUCCACCUGACUGUAUGUUGUUGGACUCAGUUUGCUAGUGUUUUAUUGAAGAUUUUUAUACCUAUAUUCAUAAAUGAUAAUGUUCUAUAGUUUUCUUUUCUGAAGGUGUCACAGGAUAAUGAUACAUCUGGCUUUGGUAUCAAGAUAAAGCUGGCCUCAUAGAAUGAGAAGAGAUUUUUUUCCCUUCUCUUUAAUUUUUUUUUUUUUUUUUUGGUACCAGGGAUUGGACUCGGGUCCUUGCGCUUGUGCAGCAGGCAGCGAAACUACUGAGCUAAAUCCCCGGCCCCCGUUCUGUUCAAUAUUUUGAAGAGUUUGUAAAAGUAGGUUUUAGAACUUAAAAGUAUUUUGGAGAAUUCACCAGUGAAGUUAUCCAGGCCUUUGUGGAAAAUAAUCACUAAUUUAAGUUCUUGUUAUAGAUCUACUUAGGUUUUCUAAUUCUUCCUGAGUCACUUUUGUCAGUUUGCAGUUUUCUAGAAAUCUAAUUUUGUCUACUUUGUUUGACUUGUUGGCACAUAGUUUUCUUCGUACUCUGUUAUAAGCCUUUCAUUUCUGUAAGAUUGGUACUGCUGUCUCCCAUCUUUAUUGCUAUACCUUAAUUUACUGUAUGAACCACCAGAAUGUAUUUGUUCUAUCUGCUGUGGGUAGAUAUAUGGGCAGUUACCUGGCCCAUUCUUCCAUUCUUUGGUUUCAUAACAAUUGUUCUUAUAUGCCAAGGACUCCUCUUUCUGGUGACAUUUCUUGGGAGCCUCAGGAUAUUGCCCAAUGAACUUGGCACAAAGAAACUUGGAAAACAUUUCUGCUUUCACCCUGGCCACACUGAAGGCAGGAUUGCUUCUGUCUUUGACCCUGAGAUCUUCCCAGAUCUGGCUGGCAUUCCAGGAUUGGCUUGUGGAACUGGACUUUGCACCUUGUCAGGCACAUGAAGGCAGUAAAUGUUCCUGAGUGUGCACAGGUGUGACCACAUCCCUAGAUGCUUCUGUGUGGGAGGCAUGGGGGAAGGUGGGGAACGUCCCGAGGUGGCGUCUGGUUGGAGGAAGUAGUCACUGGGGGCUGCCUUGUGAGGGUAUGUUUGUCCCUGGCCUCUGUGGCUCUCUUUCUGCCCCCUGGGCCCAUGAGCCGAGCUGCUUUGCUCCGCCUGGCCAUGGACCUCAGCAAUGCAACCAGUGAACCAUGACCUGAGCCCUGAAACCAUGAGCCAAAACAAGUCUUGCUUCUUUUAGGUUGAAUUCCUCAAGUAUUUUGUCACAGUGACAAAAAGCUACCAUGUUUCCUGACUAUAAUAUUCUCUGAUUAACUGACUCUAUCCUCAUGUUAUCACACACCUGACAAGCUUGUAAUAAGGAGAGCCGGAGUGGGGAGUUUUUGUUGCUUCUUGUGUAAGUUUUUUUUCCUGUAACAAAAUGCCCAAGGUAGCUAACUUGCUCAGUUCUGGAGGUUUUGGUCCAUGGUCAGGUGGGUUGCUGGUUUGUUGGUUUGUGUGAGGUAGGACAUCGUGGAGGGGACAUAUAACAGGGGAAUUUUUCACCUCAGGAUGCCAGAAACCAAAGGAGAAGAGGGUCAUCCUUCAGGUCACCCCAGAUGACCUAACUUGCUCCAGCUGGGCCCCACACCUUAAAGGUCAUACCACCUUCCAGUAGCACCAGGGACUGAGGACUGAGAUUGUCAUGGAAGGGCCUUUGGGGACAUUUAUCAGCCACGACACUUCUCAUCCGAAUCCCAUUGACCUUUGGAAGCUUUUCAUUAAUAGGCCUAAUAAUUAGCUAGAGAAAUUCCAGGGCCUGGACUUGUGGGCUCCCAGGGUGACCCCAGAAACCACAUGGGUUCCUCCAAGGAGUCAAAAUCCUAAAGUGCAUACAUUACUGCACAUAUGGUGGGGGAAGCUGGUUCUUUUUCGCUGUCCUCAAGUAUUUAAACAAUUUGUCAAAGCUUGGACUGGAAGGGAACAUUGAAAACCAGUGUACUUAGAGCAGGAAAAAUGCAGGGUGUGAGAGGAAACAUUUGUCCUCACAAUGGCCUUUGAGUAGGGGAGCCAAUUGGGCAGAAGAUGAAUUCUUCAAAUUUAAUGAAAUUAUUCGUGCAACAAAAGAAGGAAAUAAGAGCUGUGUAGGGCAUAUGUGAGAUUUCCUCUUCCUUUUACUGGACAUCUAGCAGAGUCCCGGGCUCUGGCUGGGCCUUUCUGGUUCCACAGCUCUCAACGCUGUCCUGGUACCAAGGCAACUCCCUCUGAAAAUGCUCAGUGAGGAGAGAACCUUCUUCCUGACCCUGAAUCCCUCCUUUGGACCUCUGUGUGUCACUAGAUUCCAACCCCCUCCCCUCGAUCUUCACUGGGUUCCACUUAUAUGCAUGUGUUUGUACAUUUGGGCACACAUGUUUUACACAUUUGACUGUAAGCUUCUAGCACUUUGUAAACCUAGGAGUCUUGCAUAUAAUAAAUAUUUGGUCACAAUUUACAGACGUUACUAUUAACUUUUUUUGGUAGUACUGAGGACCUGCAGAGGACGAUAGCAUUGAUUAUGCCCAAGGCAGGCUGUGAAGAGCCAACCCCACAGUCAGCUUGUUUAUAGAAGUGAGUCCGGCUGAAGCCUACGUGCUGAGGUCAGAGUAACUCGCACCCAAAUUCCAUUCCCACAACUAAAACCUUCAGAUUAGAAGGACAGUGUUCUAAUCACAAUCAUAUAUUUUGUCUAUUCUGUUCCUAAUUUGAGAGUGCCAUGUCUUGUCCUUCACAAGCCUUGUUUACAUUAAUUUCCAUAGAAACCACUCAUUGCUCGCCUUUACCCCAGUUGAUUGCCUAUAAAAGUCAGUGCCUGGGACUGGCCAGGGCCUUUGUCGGUUGCAUUGCAUUGGUCGUCCUGGCUCCCUGCUUUCUCUCCUAGUUCUGUCUCUUUGUGCAUUUAUUUCUCAGACCUGCAUCAUAUACUGGGCAGGUGAGGACUGGAACCCGACUGACUACAGAGGUCUCCAGCAAUUGGUGCCCAUUGUGGGGGCUUGAACUAUAAGCAAUCACCUGCUCAGUGAGGCUACUCAGGGUAAAGAGGAAGAAAAGAAAAAGGAAAAAAAGGAAUCCAGGAUGCAGUGCACCUCACAUCAAGAUAAGGAAGUCUAAACAUGAAGCACAAAACCCUGGAAAAAAGAGGUAGAUGCUUCAGAUGCAAGACGGUAGUAAAGGUAGUCAGCUGGGACCAAAACAUGAGGAAAUCACUUUCAGCCCAAGCUGGCCUGCAGUGUUGAACUAAGUGCUGCAAAAGGUAAAUAUAGCCAUCAUUUUUCACCAACAAGAACUUUAGAUAUGGAACUUAGGCAGCGUGUCAAAAAUAACAUCCAGACAACUCAGCAGAGAAGAGAAGUUAUCUCCCCUGAGACUUUAACUGAGACCUUGACAGCUUGGAGCUUUGUGCGCUCUGUUUUGCGGCCCGAACAGUGAAGCCUGGGAGCCGCUCAAGCUUCUGUUUUGCGGCAAUGAGCCGCCGGUGAGAACUGUUUAGUUUUGUUCUUAGAACAACUGCUCCCCAAAUCUGCUGUCUUUCACAAAGCGGACCUGCCUCUCAGGAAAUGUGACAUCGUUACAGGCAAACCCCAGUGCUCCCCUCUGGAGGAGGCCAAGCUUCCUCCCCCUUGACUUGAGCUGCAAGCUCACAGGUGCGGAGGAGGUGGGUAAAAAGCAUGAGGAGAACUGCUUGGCUUCCAUGCACUGGGAAGUGCCAUGGUCACACUCAGAAAAAAUCAAAACUUGCACUCAGAUUGGGAAGAACUGAAAUGAGAAAAUAAAUAAUGGAUUGAAAACAGCUAGAAACGCUUUGGAAAGCAUAAAGCAAAACAAUGAGAAAAACACUCCUGGCUGUAAGAGCCAUGGCCAGCGCUGCGUUAUCAGCCUGAUGCUGCCUGCAAAGGUCUGGAAUCCAAUACAAAGCCAGGGAAACUGCAACUGGUCUCUACCAGACAUAGAGAUUUUAUAAGAGAAAUCAAGCUACAAAUUUUAGCUAAUUGAUAAAUGUAUCUUUGUUAUAAUUUGCGUUGAUGUUUAAUUGGUGUGCCUAAAACAUUUCUUGUGCAUUGCAAAUUCUUGCAUUGUAAUUAUAGGGUUAACUUGUUCUUUUCUGUACUUUGUUGAUGAAGAACUCAAAGUUACUGCUGUUCUAUUGGCAGCCAGUCAAAUUUUAAAUUGUAACAAUCUCAGAACAGAAAAAAAAGAGACACUUUAAAAUUUUAACAGCUGAAGACAAGUUUUUAAUAGAAGAUUUAUAGUAAGUGAGAUGGAGGAAAAAUAUUAAAAAGGCUAUAAGUAAAAGAUAUUUUUGUUGGUACUGGAUAUCAAACUUGGGACCUUGCACUUGCACAGCAGGCACCAGACCCACUGAGCUAAAUCCCUGGCCCAAGAGAUAUAUUUUUGAUAUGAAAGGAUUUUUCUUUUUGCGGGGGUACUGUGGAUUGAACUUGGGACCUUGCGCUUGCAAGGCAGGCAGCAGUACCACUGAGCUAAAUCCCCAGCCCCGAUAUGAAAGGAUUUUGUAUGUUUGUCUUAUUAGAAGAAUAAAGAGAGAUAUACAAGAUCAGAAGGCCUAGGUAUGUUGAGAAGGUGUGUGGAAGUGAUUUAUCAAGAAAAUAUGUAUAUUUGCUUAUUGGCUUCAAGUUUGUUAUAAAAGGUUUGCAUUUACAGGCAUAAAGAGCUUUCAUUCUUUCCAGUUCUACAAGAGAUCUCUGUUAAUUGACUUACAAAGAGUUUUGACCAGUCUUAUUUACAAUUAUGAACCUAAAAAUUAUGAAAGGAUUUAUAAUUCAAUUAAGCUAAAUAUCUAGUUUUAUAAAUUGUCUUAUGUUUGUUUGUUUGCCCGUUUGUCUGUCCAACUGUACAGUUGUGUUGUUUAACAAGUUUAUUCCUUUAAAAAAUUUUUUUUAAAAAGAUAUUUGCUUAUAAUCUAAAUUGGCUUGUAGAUAAAGGUUAUGAAACUUAAAGGCAUGUAUUAUCCCCACCCCAGUUGCUAACAGAUCAAAAUGAUGUAAUAUAUAUUGUUGUCUAAUAUAAUCACUCCAAAACAUUAAUUGGUGGGCUGGAGUUUUAGCUCAGUGGUACUGCCACUUGCCUCGCAAGCACAAGGACCCGAGUUCGAUCCCUAGUACCUAAAAACCCCCACAUGAAUUGGUUACAAAUAAUGUAUUAAUUGUUACAAUCUGGUUUUUACAGGUUAUUAAGUAAGCUUUGUCAAAGGAAUUAAUGAAGAUCCAUAGGUUUAGAGAGAUUGCUAAACAGGACUCCUCUUGGUGAAUACAAGAGCGGCCAUGUGGAAAUAUUUUCCAGCCUUUGCUCACUAGGGGAACCUCAACAGUUUGUAUACUCUUACAACAGACUGAUCCUGAUAGUUUUCAUAGCCUUAAAAGAGACUUACAUCAAUGAAUAUUACUUUAAAAUGUUAUUGUAAUAUGAUUACAUUGGUUGUCAUCAAAGGCUUAAGCUCUAAAUAUGUUAUGUGAUAUGUUUACACUGGUCAUCUUCAAAAGAUUGAAUUUUCUGUGAAAACAAAGCAAGGUUUUAUUGAAAAGAUGCUUUUUACCAAACUAAAUUAGAGGGUAUAAGGUUUCACAUAUAUAACUGUGGUAAUUAUUAUUGUUAACUUUCUGGUGUACUAAAUGUAUUUACGCUUUCUGACUGUACAGGUUUUCUAAUAUAUUGUUUAUGAUAAUAACCUUCUUUUGAUUCAGGUAUUUGCCAUUCUAUUAUACUCCAGCUACUUACGAUAAGAGGUACAUUUAUAAGCUGAUGUAUUUUGUUUAGACGGCAUCCCAUCAAAAGACAACAAUUUGGAUAAUAAUGUUUUGAGUUUUUGGAAGAGAAUGAGUGCAUUUAACAAUGGCUAUUUUAUACCAAGAUGGACACUUAAGUGUGUUACAAAGAUAAUGCCAUCAUGAUUGUCAUGCUAAAAUAUUAUGUGUGGCUCUUGAUUUGAAACUUUUUUUUCUGUUAACAUUUUACAGGAAUUUAAUGGCUAGAACAACCAUGAUUGGUAAUAAUAACAGUCUUCUAACUAUACUUUAUAUUUCAAAGUGCUUGAUAUCCAGGGGCCGGGGAUUUUAGCUCAGUGGUUCCAGUGCCUGACUUGUAAGUGCAAGGUCCUGAGUUUGAUCCCUGGUGCCAACAAAAAAAAAAGUGCUUGAUAUCCAGAUAAAAUUAUGACAGUUAAGUUCACUACUCCCAUUGCAAUGCUAAUGUUAUUGAUAUUCUGUUCUGGGUGUUCAACAACUAAUGCUUAGAUACCAGAAUUAAAAAGAUGACUUGUGGUAAGAAGACAGCCAAUAUUUUGGCCCUGACCCUUCAAGGUCUACAAAUAACCCAGAAAGUGAAGAACAUUUUCUACCUGAUCCUCUCGUUAUUUUGCUUUACCAACUUUGCUCUACCAACUUUGUUAAGUCACCCAACCUCCUGAGCAGAGAGAUUGUUGGACACCAAAAAGAUAAGAAUCAAGAGUGUGCCAAAGGAGUGUCACUUGUAGGGAAAAAUCUCCCACGCUUUCACAGAAAGCAACAUGGUCAAGCAAGCCCAUGACACACCCUGAUGGCUGACACGACAGGAGUUGAAAAGCUCUAUGCAAGGUUCAAGUCAUGUCUGUGGAGACUUAAUUGACCUUGAUAGACUCCAAGAGGUUACUUUUAAUUAAUGUAGGUCUCACCUUAACUUGCUCUUGAACACCCAGUAGAAAAGCAUAAUCCAAAGAUAGAUAAAGUCAGGACCAUAGUAAUACAGCUGGAUAUAAGAAGGGGCUCCAAUUGCUGACCCCUACUGACAGUUUCCAGCUACACUCGUGACUCACUCCUGUUAUGGGUCAAUAGAAAAAACUAUGGUAAAAUUUAUAGACCUCCACAAGAGUUUUAACAUUUUUAGCUGAAAUUGUUUUUUUAAUUAUUAAAUUUUCAGUCUUUUUACAGCUAAAAUUUAAAAAAUUAUGACAAAUAUCAGACUUAUAGAUAACCUCUAUUAAUAAAAGAGUCUAAGAGCCAGCAGUUUACAAUUACUAUUUUAGUCUUUUAAAAACAGUUUCUAAACAUGGCUGUUUCCCCAACCUGCUUUUUUAUUUUAGUACUUAUAAUUUGAUUAUAAUGCUCUAAUUUCUUUAAAAAAUUGUUUAUUCUUGCCUAUAGGCUGCCAAACUCCAAGUGAUUAUGUAGAUAAAAUCAACAACAAAUGUGCUAGAUUUUUUUAACCAAAAUCCACCAGAUUGACUUUGUAUAGAGAGUUUAUAAUUGCUAAAUCACAACAUGAUUUUAUUUAAGGCCUAUUAAAUUAGCUCCCUGAAGAGAGCCUCUGUCUUCCUUACAUCCACGCUUCCCAGCUCGAAGAAGUUAGAUUGAAACUAUGCCCUUUCUCCCCUAGCUGCAGUUGGAGGUGCUCCUUGGAAAGGGAAUUAUUAUAGACAGUUAAGCCAGUUAGACACAUUGUAAGUUUUUGUCACAUAGGGUCCACUGGCUAACUCAUGGGGCCAAGCCAUUGUUGAACGUAUUCACCUUUCCCUAAAGGCACAAUAAACCCAAAGGGGGGGGUGCAGCUACCUCCACAAGCUCAAUUAGAUCUUGUUACUUUCAUUUAAAAAUUUUUAAAUCCACGUAUGGAAAGUAAAUAUAUACAAAGAAAGACCUACAGACAUGUCCUAGACAAUAGUGCUGUCAAAGGAUGUCCUAACUAAAAGGUAAAUGGCUCCAUACAAUUAAUAACAUAGGGGCCAGGGGAUGCUUAUUUUUCAACAGAAAAUAAAAAGAUGUUGUGGCCAUCACCCCAGAACAUACCACCUUGAACCAACAAGAUGGAUUCGCUAUAAGCAGCAUGAUGUGACACCCUGCUGAAAGCCAUGCACAGGCUGCCUCUGAUUCACUCCCCUCACCUGCCACAGCCCUGGGACCUGCAAAGAUCACCAGACCUGAUGGAGCUGCUGUUUUCAAACAGAGAAGGGAGAGCUGCGGAGGACUGUAAUAUUAUGCCCAAGGGAGGCUGUGAAGAGCCAACCCCACAGUCAGCUUGUUUAUAGAAGUGAGUCCAGCUGAAGCCUAUGUCCGAGGUCAGAGUAACUCGCACCCAAAUUCCUUUCCCACAACUACACCUUCAGACUAGAAGGACAGUGUUCUAAUCACAACCAUGUAUUUUGUCUAUUCUGUUCCUAACUUGAGAGUGCCAUGUCUUGUCCUUCACAAGCCUUGUUUACAUUAAUUUCCAUAGAAACCACUCAUAGCUCACCUUUACCCCAGUUGAUUGUCCAUAAAAGUCAGUGCCUGGGACUGGCCACUGCCUUUGUUGGCUGCACCAGCACUGGUUGUCCUGGCCCCUGAUUUCUCUCCUACUUCUGUCUCUUAGUGCAUUCUUUUCUCAGGCCUGCAUCACACACUGGCCAGGUGGGGACUGGAACCUGACCGCAGGGGUCUCCAGCAAGGAUCAAAGCCAGGUGCUCUGCCAGUGAACUACAUCCACAGCCCCAUUCACUUACUCAUUUAUUUAUGUAUUUAUUUAGUAUUUUGAGACUGAGUCUCACUAUGUUGCCCAUGUAGUACUGCAGAUAGGUAGGUUAAUUAGAUAUCUUGUAGGCAGUUAGACAGGGCCAGCCCACAAGGAGCCAACAUGGAGGAGAGUGAAGACACAUUCACUGAAGGCCAGCAUUGUAAAAGGAGAGAAAUUAGCCUACCCAUGUAAGAUGAAGAGCAGUGACUGAUGUUCUAAAUAGGUA
rnacentral:lncRNA from 1 species